rnacentral:rRNA from 1 species
CCUACGGGGCGCACCAGUGGGGAAUAUUGCACAAUGGGCGCAAGCCUAAUGCAGCCAUGCCGCGUGUAUGAAGUAGGCCUUCGGGUUGUAAAGUACUUUCAGCGGGGAGGAAGGCGAUAAGGUUAGUAACCUUGUCGAUUGACGUUACCCGCAGAAGAAGCACCGGCUAACUCCGUGCCAGCAGCCGCGGUAAUACGGAGGGUGCAAGCGUUAAUCGGAAUUACUGGGCGUAAAGCGCACGCAGGCGGUCUGUCAAGUCGGAUGUGAAAUCCCCGGGCUCAACCUGGGAACUGCAUUCGAUACUGGCAGGCUGGAGUCUUGUAGAGGGGGGUAGAAUUCCAGGUGUAGCGGUGAAAUGGGUAGAGAUCUGGAGGAAUACCGGUGGCGAAGGCGGCCCCCUGGACAAAGACUGACGCUCAGGUGCGAAAGCGUGGGGAGCAAACAGGAUUAGAUACCCUUGUAGUC